rnacentral:RNase_P_RNA from 1 species
AUGGUGCGGUAAGAGCGCACCGCGUUCGUGGUAACACGAACGGCAGGGUAAACCCCACCUGGAGCAAGACCAAAUAGGAAUCCAAUGGUGCGGCCCGCAUCGGAUUCGGGUAGGUCGCGAGAGUCACGCGGUGACGUGUGAUCGAGAUGAAUGGUCGCCUUCGACAGAACCCGGCUUACAGGCCGACUCCCCAC